rnacentral:snRNA from 1 species
GGAUGUGAGGGCGAUCUGGCUGCAAUAUCUGUCACCCCAUUGAUCACCAGGGUAGAUUCAGCUGAUCUGGCUGGCAAGGUAGGUGUCCCCUUCCUCCCUCAACGCUCCAUGUGCGUCCCUCCCAAAGCUGCACGCCCGCUCAAAGAAGAUGACCUUCCCAAUAGAGGAGGACCAUUCUUCAGUCAGGGUAUACGAGUAGCUGCGUUCCCCUGCUAGAACCUCCAAACAAGCUUUCAAGAAAGUUCCAUUUCUACUCCAUUUCCUGAUUUUAUAACUGGAACUGUUACAGGACAGAAUGCCAGAAAGAAGACACCAGUCCUAUUCCUAUGUGAUCUUGGUAAGUCAUUUAACUACCCUGG